UACAGGGGGGGCAAGCGUUGUUCGGAAUCACUGGGCGUAAAGGGUGCGUAGGCGGGUCUUUAAGUCAGGGGUGAAAUCCUGGAGCUCAACUCCAGAACUGCCUUUGAUACUGAGGAUCUUGAGUGCGGGAGAGGUGAGUGGAACUGCGAGUGUAGAGGUGAAAUUCGUAGAUAUUCGCAAGAACACCAGUGGCGAAGGCGACUCACUGGCCCGAUACUGACGCUGAGGCACGAGAGCGUGGGGAGCAAACAGG
rnacentral:rRNA from 1 species